GUCCUUCACGAGGUUGCUGCAUGGGCUGUCGUCAGCUCGUGCCGUGAGGUGUUGGGUCAAGUCCCGCAACGAGCGCAACCCUCGUGCUAUGUUGAUUUCUCAUAGCAGACUGCCUUGUACAGCAAGGAGGAAGGUGGGAUGACGUCAAGUCAGCAUGGCCUUUAUGCCCUGGGCUACACACACGCUACAAUGGGUGGGAACAGAGGGUUGCCACGGAGCAAUUCGGAGCUAAUCCCUUAAAACCAUCCUCAGUUCGGAUUGCAGGCUGCAAUCGCCUGCAUGAAGCCGGAGCUGCUAGUAACCGCAGGUCAGCUAUACUGCGGUGAAUACGUUCUCGGGCCUU
rnacentral:rRNA from 1 species